rnacentral:rRNA from 1 species
UUCCCCUAGUAACGGCGAGUGAAGCGGGAAAAGCUCAAAUUUAAAAUCUGGCUGUCUUUGAUAGUCCGAGUUGUAAUCUAGAGAAGCGUUUUCCGCGCUGGACUGUGUACAAGUUUCCUGGAUACGGAACAUCAUAGAGGGUGAGAAUCCCGUCCUUGACACAGACUCCCAGUGCUCUGCGAUGCGCUCUCGACGAGUCGAGUUGUUUGGGAUUGCAGCUCAAAAUGGGAGGUAAAUUCCUUCUAAAGCUAAAUAUUGGCGAGAGACCGAUAGCGAACAAGUACCGUGAGGGAAAGAUGAAAAGCACUUUGGAAAGAGAGUUAAACAGUACGUGAAAUUGUUAAAAGGGAAACGCUUGAAGUCAGUCGCGUUUACUUGGACUCAGCCAGGCCUCGGUUUGGUGUAUUUCCUUGUGAACGGGCCAGCGUCCAUGUUGUCUGCCGGAAAAGGUUCAGGGGAAUGUGGCUCUUUCGGGAGUGUUAUAGCCCCGGUUCGUAUACGGUGUGCGAUAUGGAGUGGUACAGCACGUUCUUUGGUGCUUGUGCUGGCAUAAUGGCUUUAAACGACCCGUCUUGAAACACGGACCAAGGAGUCUAACAUGUCUGCGAGUGUUUGGGUGGAAAACCCGAGCGCGCAAUGAAAGUGAUAGCUGGGAACCCCUCACGGGAGGCACCGGCGCCCCGAGCUGACCUUCUGUGACGCAUCGGAGGUAGAGCAUAUAUGUUGGGACCCGAAAGAUGGUGAACUAUGCCUGCAUAGGGCGAAGCCAGAGGAAACUCUGGUGGAGGCUCGUAGCGAUUCUGACGUGCAAAUCGAUCGUCAAAUGUGGGUAUAGGGGCGAAAGACUAAUCGAACCAU